CAUGACGUCGAUAUUCGACGUCAUGAACACGGUCAACUUUGGUGUUUAUGACGUCGAUAUUCGACGUCAUAAACACGAUCAAGUUUGGUGUUUAUGACGUCGAUAUUCGACGCCAUAAACACGAUCAACUUUGGUGUUUAUGACGUCGAUAUUCGACGUCAUAAACACGAUCAACUUUGGUGUUUAUGACGUCGAUAUACGACGUCAUAAACACGGUCAACUUUGGUG
rnacentral:miRNA from 1 species